rnacentral:tRNA from 1 species
UCCCUGAAGAUCUAGUGGUUAGGCCACAGUGCUCUCAGCGCUGUGGCCUGGGUUUGAUUCCCAGCCAGGGAA